GGGCAUGUAGCGCAGUUGGUAGCGCGCUCGCUUAGCAUACGACUUGAUCGAAGUCAAUUACUUGCGAGAGGUCUUGGGUUCAAUUCCCAACUUGUCCA